GACGAACGCUGGCGGCGUGCCUAAUACAUGCAGGUAGAACGCACAGUUUAUACCGUAGCUUGCUACACCAUAGACUGUGAGUUGCGAACGGGUGAGUAACGCGUAGGUAACCUGCCUGGUAGCGGGGGAUAACUAUUGGAAACGAUAGCUAAUACCGCAUAAUAUUAAUUAUUGCAUGAUAAUUAAUGGAAAGGUGCAAUUGCACCACUACCAGAGGGACCUGCGUUGUAUUAGCUAGUAGGUGAGGUAACGGCUCACCUAGGCGACGAUACAUAGCCGACCUGAGAGGGUGAUCGGCCACACUGGGACUGAGACACGGCCCAGACUCCUACGGGAGGCAGCAGUAGGGAAUCUUCGGCAAUGGACGAAAGUCUGACCGAGCAACGCCGCGUGAGUGAAGAAGGUUUUCGGAUCGUAAAGCUCUGUUGUAAGAGAAGAACGGGUGUGAGAGUGGAAAGUUCACACUGUGACGGUAUCUUACCAGAAAGGGACGGCUAACUACGUG
rnacentral:rRNA from 1 species